rnacentral:rRNA from 1 species
CAGCCGCCACGGUAAUACGAAGGGGGCUAGCGUUGCUCGGAAUUACUGGGCGUAAAGGGCGCGUAGGCGGAUGUUUAAGUUAGAGGUGAAAGCCCAGGGCUCAACCUUGGAACUGCCUUUGAUACUGGACAUCUUGAGUAUGGGAGAGGUGAGUGGAACUCCGAGUGUAGAGGUGAAAUUCGUAGAUAUUCGGAAGAACACCAGUGGCGAAGGCGACUCACUGGCCCAUUACUGACGCUGAGGCGCGAAAGCGUGGGGAGCAAACAGGAUUAGAGACCCCAGUAGUCCCUGUCUCUUAUAC